UACAGAGGGUGCGAGCGUUACUCGGAAUUACUGGGCGUAAAGGGCUCGUAGGCGGCCAACUAAGUCAGACGUGAAAUCCCCAGGCUCAACCUGGGAACUGCGUCUGAUACUGGAUGGCUUGAAUCCGGGAGAGGGAUGCAGAAUUCCAGGUGUAGCGGUGAAAUGCGUAGAUAUCUGGAGGAAUACCGGUGGCGAAGGCGGCAUCCUGGACCGGCAUUGACGCUGAGGAGCGAAAGCCAGGGGAGCAAACGGG
rnacentral:rRNA from 1 species